UACGAAGGGGGCUAGCGUUGCUCGGAAUCACUGGGCGUAAAGCGCACGUAGGCGGCUUGUUAAGUCAGGGGUGAAAUCCCGGAGCUCAACUCCAGAACUGCCUUUGAUACUGGCGAUCUCGAGUCCGGGAGAGGUGAGUGGAACUGCGAGUGUAGAGGUGAAAUUCGUAGAUAUUCGCAAGAACACCAGUGGCGAAGGCGGCUCGCUGGCCCGGUACUGACGCUGAGGUGCGAAAGCGUGGGGAGCAAACAGG
rnacentral:rRNA from 1 species